rnacentral:rRNA from 1 species
GGUAACACCCGAAGCCGGUGGCCUAACCGUUGUGGGGGAGCCGUCGAAGGUGGGACUGGUGAUUAGGACUAAGUCGUAACAAGGUAGCCGUACCGGAAGGUGCGGCUGGAUCACCUCCUUUCUAAGGAG